rnacentral:rRNA from 1 species
UACGAAGGGGGCUAGCGUUGCUCGGAAUUACUGGGCGUAAAGGGCGCGUAGGCGGAUAUCUAAGUUGGGGGUGAAAUCCCGGGGCUCAACCUCGGAAUUGCCUUCAAAACUGGAUAUCUUGAGUUCGGGAGAGGUGAGUGGAACUCCGAGUGUAGAGGUGAAAUUCGUAGAUAUUCGGAAGAACACCAGUGGCGAAGGCGACUCACUGGCCCGACACUGACGCUGAGGCGCGAAAGCGUGGGGAGCAAACAGG